rnacentral:rRNA from 1 species
UACGUAGGGCGCAAGCGUUGUCCGGAAUUAUUGGGCGUAAAGAGCUCGUAGGUGGUCUGUCGCGUCUGCCGUGAAAACCCGAGGCUUAACCUCGUGGCUUGCGGUGGAUACGGGCAGACUAGAGGUAGGUAGGGGAGAAUGGAAUUCCCGGUGUAGCGGUGAAAUGCGCAGAUAUCGGGAGGAACACCGGUGGCGAAGGCGGGUCUCUGGGCAGUAACUGACGCUGAGGAACGAAAGCGUGGGUAGCGAACAGG